rnacentral:rRNA from 1 species
UGGGGAAUAUUGGACAAUGGGCGAAAGCCUGAUCCAGCCAUGCCGCGUGUGUGAAGAAGGUCUUCGGAUUGUAAAGCACUUUAAGUUGGGAGGAAGGGCAGUAAGCGAAUACCUUGCUGCUUUGAUGUUACCGACAGAAUAAGCACCGGCUAACUCUGUGCCAGCAGCCGCGGUAAUACAGAGGGUGCAAGCGUUAAUCGGAAUUACUGGGCGUAAAGCGCGCGUAGGUGGUUCGUUAAGUUGAAUGUGAAAGCCCCGGGCUCAACCUGGGAACUGCAUCCCAAACUGGCGAGCUAGAGUAGGGCAGAGGGUGGUGGAAUUUCCUGUGUAGCUGUGAAAUGCGUAGAUAUAGGAAGGAACACCAGUGGCGAAGGCGACCACCUGGGCUCAUACUGACACUGAGGUGCGAAAGCGUGGGGAGCAAACAGG